UUACACAAGAAAAAACUUCAAAAAAAUUAUAAUCCAGAUACCUGCAAAAUAAAGGGUCCUAUGGAUAUUACAAUUUUAUUCAGAACCCAAAAUACUGUUUCCGAUUUGUUAUAAAAUCCACAAACUAAAUAAUUUAAAAUAAUAACUAUUAAUUGCAAAAUACAAUAGAACAUCAACAAGUUAAGUGAUACAACAAAACUAGAGUAAAAUCACAUACAUUUGAUGAACAGUGUAUACACAACCAAACAAAGACUUUUAUAUUAUUAUUUUUUCAAUAUUUUAUUAUUUCUAUUUAUUUAGUUUAACAACCAGUACAAAGUGCUGAAUUUUAAAAAAAGGGAUGCAGUUA